AACGAACGCUGGCGGCAGGCUUAACACAUGCAAGUCGAGCGCAUCCUUCGGGGUGAGCGGCAGACGGGUGAGUAACGCGUGGGAACGUACCCUUUGCUACGGAAUAGCUCCGGGAAACUGGAAUUAAUACCGUAUGAGCCCUUCGGGGGAAAGAUUUAUCGGCAAAGGAUCGGCCCGCGUUGGAUUAGCUAGUUGGUGGGGUAAAGGCCUACCAAGGCGACGAUCCAUAGCUGGUCUGAGAGGAUGAUCAGCCACAUUGGGACUGAGACACGGCCCAAAAUCCUACGGGAGGCAGCAGUGGGGAAUAUUGGACAAUGGGCGCAAGCCUGAUCCAACCAUGCCGCGUGAGUGAUGAAGGCCUUAGGGUUGUAAAGCUCUUUCAGUAGGGAAGAUAAUGACGGUACCUACAGAAGAAGCCCCGGCUAACUUCGUGCCAGCCGCCGCGGUAAUAC
rnacentral:rRNA from 1 species